UCCGGUGGCCAUAGCGGAGGGGUCCCACCCGAUCCCAUCCCGAACUCGGAAGUUAAGACCUCCAGCGCCAAUGGUACUGCACGGUUUCGUGUGGGAGAGUAGGUCGCCGCCGGAU
rnacentral:rRNA from 1 species